GCCGAGAUAGCUCAGUUGGGAGAGCAGCAGACUGAAGUUCUGAAGGUCGGGCGUUCGAUCCGCCCUCUUGGCA
rnacentral:tRNA from 1 species